AUAAACUGGUUUCCCUUCAAAUCACGCAUAAAUGUUUCGCCUUUUAAAGAUUUCUGUGGAAAGAAACAAUUGAUGAGUCAAUAGACCAAUUUUUUGUGUCAAAA
rnacentral:snRNA from 1 species